GGGGUGGCUUUGGUUAUCUAGUGUUGAAUGUUGUUCUGUUCCGUUCGGUUGUUUGACUAUUUGUUUAGGAUCCUGCAGAACUAGGUUCGAAUUGCGGUCGCACCAAGCUUAAGAUCUUUGUACGAGUAGAUAUCUCUUUUUAUUGGUUUGUGUGAGUGGAGGAAAGGUUCUCAGAGUUUAUUAUUAGUAUUAUUAUUAUUUUGACUAAUAAAGAAACGGUUGUUGUUGUUGUUGUUGUUGUUGUUGUUGUUAUCGUCGUCAGCGUUACUUUUGCUUGGUUUUUCUGAUUGCAGCUGUUUAUGUUGUUGUUGUUGAGGCUAUUCUUGUUAUUGUUGUUGUUGUUGUUGUUGUUGUUGUUGUUGUCAUCUGUUGUGGGAUGCGACUCUGAAAUACGAAGUGUCCUAAGAGCCGAGAGGACGGACAGUCAGCCGCCGCUUCUGGCGUAGCUACUUCUUCUUCUUCUCUGUCUCUAUCUCUAUCUCUUUCUUCUUCUUCGUCGUCCUCCGCCGCUUGCCUCUGUUGUAAACAGCUGCACUUCCUGUUUGCUCUGGAAAUUGCUCUGUCUUGCGAGAUCUUCCACUGCAGGUGAGUCGCCCUCACAUCCUCCAUAAAUGUGGUGAGAAAGGAACGAGUGAUGCUUACAAGCAGGGGAUAAAAGUUAACUGAUAGACAGUAGGUGAGAGAGAGAGAGAGCGUAAGACGAAGUGUGAGGAGGAGGGGGGGGGAGGGAAGGAGGGGUUGCGAGAUAUACGGGAGGAAGAGGAGGAUGUGAAGGGGAGGAAUAUGUAGAAAAAAUAAAAGGAGGGGGAAUUUGUGGGUGUGAGAGUAAAAUCUGUAUUGAGUGAUAGAUGAGUUUUGUGUGUAUGUAUGUAUGUAUGUGUGUAUGUAUGUAUGUGUGUAUGUAUGUAUGUGUGUAUGUUUCGGGAGUUGUGUAUGUAUGUAUGUAUGAAUGUAUGUAUGUAUGUAUGUUUCGGCAGUUGUGUAUGUAUGUAUGUAUGAAUGUAUGUAUGUAUGUAUGUAUGUAUGUAUGUAUGUAUGUAUGUAUGUAUGUAUGUAUGUAUGUAUGAAUGUAUGUAUGUAGUUGUGUAUGUAUGUAUGUAUGAAUGUAUGUAUGUAUGUGUGUAUGUAUGUAUGUAUGUGUGUAUGUAUGUAUGUUUCGGGAGUUGUGUAUGUAUGUAUGAAUGUAUGUAUGUAUGUAUGUAUGUAUGUAUGUAUGUAUGUAUGUGUGUAUGAAUGUAUGUAUGUCUGUAUGUAUGUAUGUAUGUAUGUACGUGUGUUUGUAUGUAUAUAUGUAUGUAUGUAUGUGUGUCUGUAUGUAUGUUUCGGGAGUUGUGUAUGUAUGUAUGUAUGUAUGUAUGUAUGUAUGUAUGUAUGUAUGUAUGUAUGUAUGUACUACGUAUGUAUGUAUGUUUGUAUGUAUAUAUGUACUACGUAUGUAUGUAUGUACGUAUAUAUGUGUGUGUUUAUGUGUGUCGAUAUAAAAAUGUUUAGAGUGAAAAAAAGAAGAGGGAGAGAAACGAAAAAAAAAUGUAGGUGUGUUCAAAAAAUGGCGGGUAAAAAGUACAAAAAAAUUAUCAACAACUGAAGAAGAAAUCAAGGUGGGGAGUAGGAAGAGUAGAAUCUAAAAUGAAACCGAAAGUAGGGUGGGGAAGAAAGCUAGGAGUGGGAGUACGUACGGUUGGAAUUUCAGAAGAGAGGCAGAAUGAGGAGGAAUGGAAGCUCCACCAUAUGUGAAUGGAAGCAGCAGCAAGCAGGAAUUAGUUUAUGGUCUUCGAAAGAAUUCUGAGGAAGACGAUGGCGACGCUGGGUUCACGGUUUCUUAC
rnacentral:lncRNA from 1 species